rnacentral:rRNA from 1 species
UACGGAGGAUGCAAGCGUUAUCCGGAAUCAUUGGGCGUAAAGCGUCCGCAGGUGGCAGUUCAAGUCUGCUGUCAAAGACCGGGGCUUAACUUCGGAAAGGCAGUGGAAACUGAACAGCUAGAGUAUGGUAGGGGCAGAGGGAAUUCCUGGUGUAGCGGUGAAAUGCGUAGAUAUCAGGAAGAACAUCGGUGGCGAAGGCGCUCUGCUGGACCAUAACUGACACUCAGGGACGAAAGCUAGGGGAGCGAAUGGG